rnacentral:rRNA from 1 species
AUUGAACGCUGGCGGCAGGCCUAACACAUGCAAGUCGAGCGGAUGAAGAGAGCUUGCUCUCUGAUUCAGCGGCGGACGGGUGAGUAAUGCCUAGGAAUCUGCCUGGUAGUGGGGGACAACGUUUCGAAAGGAACGCUAAUACCGCAUACGUCCUACGGGAGAAAGCAGGGGACCUUCGGGCCUUGCGCUAUCAGAUGAGCCUAGGUCGGAUUAGCUAGUUGGUGAGGUAAUGGCUCACCAAGGCGACGAUCCGUAACUGGUCUGAGAGGAUGAUCAGUCACACUGGAACUGAGACACGGUCCAGACUCCUACGGGAGGCAGCAGUGGGGAAUAUUGGACAAUGGGCGAAAGCCUGAUCCAGCCAUGCCGCGUGUGUGAAGAAGGUCUUCGGAUUGUAAAGCACUUUAAGUUGGGAGGAAGGGCAGUAAGCGAAUACCUUGCUGUUUUGACGUUACCGACAGAAU